AUGAGCUUUUAUUGCUUUGUUUCGACGCGGCAUCAUGGCUUUUGGAACCAAGUUGUUAAAGCUGCAUUUUGGAUAUUGAAUCAGUUGUUUCUGGAACGUUUUGCAGAUCACCAGCAAGAUCGAAAUCUCCUAAUGUUUCUCCAGCAAAUGGUGAAGCAGCAAGCCCCAAGAAGCAGAGCCCAUCUGGCUCACGCUCUCCUGAUGUAAAAUGAUUCUACUCUUAUUUGUUGUAGUUGUUAAUGGCAAACACAGCUGAACUGACAACAAUCGGUCAAAAUUUGCAGGCGAAGCCUGAAUAAAAUUGCUAUGCUGUUAAAGGAU